AGCAGCCGCGGUAAUUCCAGCUCCAAUAGCGUAUAUUAAAGUUGUUGCAGUUAAAAAGCUCGUAGUUGAAUUUCGGGAUCAAUAUAUCGGUCGUGCCUUUGGUACGUACUGGUAUCAUUGAUUUCUCCCUUCUGACGAAUCAUGAUGUCAUUAAUUUGGUGUUAUGAGGAGUUAGGACUGUUACUUUGAAAAAAUUGAGUGUUUAAAGCAGGCAUUAGCUUGAAUACAUUAGCAUGGAAUAAUGAAAUAGGACGUUUGACCCUAUUUGUUGGUUUCUAGGAUCGACGUAAUGAUUAAUAGGGAUAGUUGGGGGCAUUAGUAUUCAAUUGUCAGAGGUGAAAUUCUUGGAUUUAUUGAAGACUAACUACUGCGAAAGCAUUUUGCCAAGGAUGUUUUCAUUAAUCAAGAACGAAAGUUAGGGGAUCGAAGACGAUCAGAUACCGUCGUAGUCUUAACCAUAAGCUAAUGCCGACGUAGGGAUCGGAUGGAUUGGUUAAAUUUUAUAAAUGAACUUCG
rnacentral:rRNA from 1 species